UUCCGUUACAGACAUUCUUUCUUUCUCUGAUUGCCCCUUUCUCUCUAUGUUCUGUUUUCUGAUUGUCCCUUUCUGUCAUUGUCCUGUUCUUUCUCUCUGUUUUCUUCAAUUUUUUUUUUUGUUUGCUUUGUUUUCAUUUUUCAUUUUUCUGGUUUUGAGCGUGCACGCUGGUUUGUCUGUCUUUGUUUUGGUGUUACAUUUUUCUGGCAGAGAAGGGGAAAGGCAGAGCAGAGGAAGAGGCAGAGCAACCGAGGGAAAAUUCAUCUUCCAGGCAUGAGAUGCAGAACCCAGCAACAGUUCAUAUAACUGAUGCAGAGAGGAAGAAAUGGGAAGUUCCUUAUGACCUGCUUUGUUUAUAACAAGUAGCUGCUCUAGAAGGAAACCAUAUUUUCAAAACAGCUAACCCAGUGUUUGAAUUCUCUGUGUUCUCAGGCAAUGAGUUGUUCUUCUCCUACACAGCUAACCCAUUUGGAUAUGCUAUCAAGCACAGAUCCCACGGAGAGGUUCUGUUCAACUCCUCAUAUGGUAGCUUGGUUUUCAGUAUCUGAUACGAAAUUGUUGAGGAAAUGGCUGUGCUAUCUGUACCAUGACUGUAAUCCUGUGGUUGUGCAUGGAGUUGUGCACCAAUGUACUAAUGGACAGCCACACUGAAGCUCGGAUAUCUGAUUUUGGUUAGUCGGACUCAUGCAGAGGGAAGCCACCAUGUGCUCUAGCGCGUACAUUGCACCAGGUUCGUCUCGACUAGAUGUAGUUCAGCAGUUCACUGACCUCAUAGGACAUACAACUGCAAUGCCCUAUUGGGCUUCUGGCAUGACAUGCAGGACCCAACAAGAGUUAGGCAUGAGAUGGAGGACCCAGCAAGAGUUCAUACAACCCGUGUAGAGAAGAAGAGAUGGGAAGUUCAUUAUGACUUGCUUCCUAUAUAACUGUAGCUACUCUAGAAGCAAGCCAUGUUUCCAAAACAGCUAACCCAGUGUUUGAAUUCUGUGUGUUCUCAGGCAAUAAGUUGAUCUUCUCAUGAACAGCUAAUCCACUUGGAAUUGCUAUCAAGCACAAAUCCCACGGAGAGUUUCAUCUCCAUUAGAUGCAGUUCAGCAGUUCACUGAUCUCAUACGACAUACAACUUCAAUGCCCUAUUGGGCUUUUCGCAUGAGACACAGGACUCAGCAAGAGUUCAUAUAACUGAUGCAAGGAAGAAGAGAUGGGAAGUUCUUUAUGACCUGCUUCCUAGAUCAUUUGUAGCUGCUCUAGAGCAAGCCAUAUUUUCAAAACAGUUAACCCAGUGUUUGAAUUCUCUGUGUUGUCAAGCAAUGAGUUGAUCUUCUUCUGCACAGCUAAUCCAUUUGGAAUUGCUAUCGAGCACAAAUCCCAUGGAGAGGUUCAUAUCCUUUAUAUGCAGUUCAGCAGUUCACUGACAUCAUAGGACAUACAGCUGCAAUGCCCUCUUGGGCUUCUGAGAAGAAGAGAUGGGAAGUUCUUUAUGACCUGCUUCCUAGAUAACUAUUAGCUUCUCUAGAAGCAAGCCAUAUUUCCAAAACAGGUAAACCAGUGUUUGAAUUCUGUGUUCUCAGGCAAUGAGUUGAUCUUCUCCUACACAACUUGCUAUCAAGCACAAGUCCCAUGGAGAGGGGAUCGAUGUUUUAUAUACUGGCUGUAAGCUGACAUACAAGGUUAUUGGGGGUUCACUGGACUUCUUCUUCUUUGCAAGUUUGUCUCCAUUAGAUGCAGUUCAGCAGUUCACUGAUCUCAUAGGACAUACAGUUGCAAUGCCCUAUUGGGCUUCUGGCAUGAGAAGCAGGACCCAGUAAGAGUUCAUAUAACCAGUGCACAGAAGAAGAGAUGGGAAUUUCUUUAUGACCUGCUUCCUAGAUCACUAUUAGUUGCUCUAGAAGGAAGCCAUAUUUCCAAAACAGCUAAACCAGUAUUUGAAUUCUCUGUGUUCUCAGGCAUUGAGUUGAUCUUCUCCUGCACAGUAAUCCAUUUGGAAUUUUUAUCGAGCACAAGUCCCAUGGAGAGGUGAUCAGUACAAGCCUUCCCACAUCAGCUUCACUAUUAUUUCAGUUUGAAUUGAUUAAUAAUAGGAAGGGUAAUUUUAGCUGGGUGAGUAGAUAUGAAAUUGUUGAGGGAAUGGCUAUGCUAUCUGCACCUUUUAUCCA